CCCACAUGGUUCCAGCACAACCAAACCUCCCCCCUCUCCCAAGAGUCAGCGAUGGGGCUGGGAGCAGUGCUCUCAGGAAGGCUCCUGGGGGAACAGACGCAGUGAUUACCUAAAUUACUUUCUAAUAGCUUUUAUCUCCUAAUUUCUACUUUGUCAAGUGUUAAAAUCCAUUAAUAACCAAGAGACCAUAUGGAAAAACAUUUAACAUCCCAGCUGCCAAGAGCUCCCACCUCCGUCACGCUCCAGCAAGGUUGAGGGAGAGGGGAAAAAAAAAAAUGAAUGAUGAUUAUUUUUUUAAUCUUAAACCCAGCUGGACCAGCACAUGCAUUUGCUGAUUAACAGUGAUUGGGGAAAACCCAUGUAUAAAGCUGGGGACUCCACACUUCUCAGCCAGGCCGUGCUGAGGUUCUUAGCAAACAUUUCCAAGCAGAGGAUGAAAAUAGAAUCCUACAUCCCAACCAGAGGUUGUUGCCUGGGAAACCAGGAAUAUAGGGGCACGGGUCUGGCCAGCUGCUCAGGGCUUGCUGGAGGGUCAAGGGCACUGCUGGAAGAAGGCAGGCACGAGGAAAACGUUGAGGUACAGCAGUUGGUGCCACACAUGAUGUCCAGGCAACUGGAGGGGUCUUGCCCCCCUGGAAAUGCUUCCAAAGCAACGACCUUCACACCAAAGAAGCCCAGCUGGAAGAUCCAUCCAGCCUUGGAGACACAGAGCUCCCCAGCAGUCACACCAGCCCUCACACCCACUUCUUGCUCACCCCAGCCAGCCCUGGGAGGUUCCCACCAGCUCCAUCUCCCAGAGCUGCUGUGCCAAGGUCCCCAGGGAUGGGCCAUUGGCUGAAGCAAUGCCCAGCACAUCCAGGACAGUCACACCAGCUGAAGGAUGGCCAGAGCACGGCCAUCCCCCACUAAGACCAGCAGUGACAUUUGCACAGUGCUCCUGGCAGCCUCGGAGCCGCCGCAGCAGCUGGCUUUAAGCACUUUUCAUCUAAUUCAAUGAAAAUGAGCUGUUUGAGUGAAUGAAGAUAAUUUAAUAAUGAAUAGCUCCAACUUAUCGGAGAAGCUCUCUCCGUUCCUGCCUGACAGUCGCUGCCUCUAAGUGCAAUUUAAUAAGGGAAUCACCAUCACUCAGCCCUGUGGUUGGAAAUCUGCACUCGGGGAAAGGUUUCCACACUCCCUAAAAGCUGGCGCUGUUUCUCGAAGAGCCUAAAAUCUGAAGCCAUCUGGGGGGCUUCAAGGCAUAAGGGUGCUGCAGUGCUUUCUGCCACCCCAUGCCACCAUCCCCAGCUGGCACACCACAUGCUGCUGCAGGAACAGGGAUGUGCCAUGCAGACAAGCUCAGUCAGGACCUGCAGCACCCAGGUGGGGGACACUGAUGCUCCUCAGCAGCGCAUGGAUGUGCACCCCCAGUCAUUCUGUUCCUGCAGAACACCCUUCCUGGGGACAGCAGGAAUCUGCAUUCCACUGAGCAUCAAUCCGGGCAGCAGGGGUCUCAUUCUGCACGCUGCUGGGGCUGUCAGCACAGGGAUGCUAGUCCUGGGAAUUCCUGCUGACACCUGCCGGUGCUGGGUGCUUAAUUAUUAAUUGCAUUUCCCAAAGCAAUUGUUGCUCACGCUGAUGGAGCUGGACAAAACAUCGCAAGCAAUUAGUAACCCCUCCGCUCCAUUUCACCAGUACCUGCUUAACGUCCCGCUCACAUCCUCCUCCAGUGGCUGCAGAAGGAGGAAGAUCCCACAGGCAUCUCCUCAGCUCUGGGCUUUGCUUGUGGCACAGAGCAGAGCUGUCUUGGGGCCAAGCUUCGGCCACAGCUCAGGUGUUGGACCAAAUUAAUUUUUAUUAUA
ensembl:lncRNA